rnacentral:rRNA from 1 species
GGUGACUGCGUACCUUUUGUAUAAUGGGUCAGCGACUUAUAUUCUGUAGCAAGGUUAACCGAAUAGGGGAGCCGAAGGGAAACCGAGUCUUAACUGGGCGUUAAGUUGCAGGGUAUAGACCCGAAACCCGGUGAUCUAGCCAUGGGCAGGUUGAAGGUUGGGUAACACUAACUGGAGGACCGAACCGACUAAUGUUGAAAAAUUAGCGGAUGACUUGUGGCUGGGGGUGAAAGGCCAAUCAAACCGGGAGAUAGCUGGUUCUCCCCGAAAGCUAUUUAGGUAGCGCCUCGUGAAUUCAUCUCCGGGGGUAGAGCACUGUUUCGGCAAGGGGGUCAUCCCGACUUACCAACCCGAUGCAAACUGCGAAUACCGGAGAAUGUUAUCACGGGAGACACACGGCGGGUGCUAACGUCCGUCGUGAAGAGGGAAACAACCCAGACCGCCAGCUAAGGUCCCAAAGUCAUGGUUAAGUGGGAAACGAUGUGGGAAGGCCCAGACAGCCAGGAUGUUGGCUUAGAAGCAGCCAUCAUUUAAAGAAAGCGUAAUAGCUCACUGGUCGAGUCGGCCUGCGCGGAAGAUGUAACGGGGCUAAACCAUGCACCGAAGCUGCGGCAGCGACACUAUGUGUUGUUGGGUAGGGGAGCGUUCUGUAAGCCUGUGAAGGUGGCCUGUGAGGGUUGCUGGAGGUAUCAGAAGUGCGAAUGCUGACAUAAGUAACGAUAAAGCGGGUGAAAAGCCCGCUCGCCGGAAGACCAAGGGUUCCUGUCCAACGUUAAUCGGGGCAGGGUGAGUCGACCCCUAAGGCGAGGCCGAAAGGCGUAGUCGAUGGGAAACAGGUUAAUAUUCCUGUACUUGGUGUUACUGCGAAGGGGGGACGGAGAAGGCUAUGUUGGCCGGGCGACGGUUGUCCCGGUUUAAGCGUGUAGGCUGGUUUUCCAGGCAAAUCCGGAAAACCAAGGCUGAGGCGUGAUGACGAGGCACUACGGUGCUGAAGCGACAAAUGCCCUGCUUCCAGGAAAAGCCUCUAAGCAUCAGGUAACAUCAAAUCGUACCCCAAACCGACACAGGUGGUCAGGUAGAGAAUACCAAGGCGCUUGAGAGAACUCGGGUGAAGGAACUAGGCAAAAUGGUGCCGUAACUUCGGGAGAAGGCACGCUGAUAUGUAGGUGAAGCGACUUGCUCGUGGAGCUGAAAUCAGUCGAAGAUACCAGCUGGCUGCAACUGUUUAUUAAAAACACAGCACUGUGCAAACACGAAAGUGGACGUAUACGGUGUGACGCCUGCCCGGUGCCGGAAG